rnacentral:lncRNA from 1 species
CGACUGAAUAGAUAGCUGCCAGUGUUUCACCGCAAUGACAUGAAGCUAAAGUUCUGUAGGAGCACAGACUACCAUUUCCCCAAAAAAGAUAACAGUAGAGAUUGCUUCUGCUAUAUAUUUUUUGCUUCAUCUUUUGUACAACCAUUAUCUAUUCUAUAUCCAGAAAUCAUACACGAGGAGAAGUAAAGUACAUAGCAUGCAAGCUUCAAACACAUAACACC